CGGGGUGCACCAGGCGCGAAAACUUUACCAUGCCGGCAACGGCGAUAAGGGAACCUCGAGUGCCAGGUUACAAAUCUGGCUGUCGUGAUGCCUAAAAAGCAUUGCAUAGCAAGGGCCGGGCAAGACCGGUGCCAGCCGCCGCGGUAACACCGGCGGCUCGAGUGGUAACCGUUAUUAUUGGGUCUAAAGGGUCUGUAGCCGGCCGGGUAAGUCUCUUGGGAAAUCUGGCAGCUUAACUGUCAGGCUUUCAGGAGAUACUGCCUGGCUCGAGGCCGGGAGAGGUGAGAGGUACUUCAGGGGUAGGGGUGAAAUCUUGUAAUCCUUGAAGGACCACAGUGGCGUAGGCGUCUCACCAGAACGGACCUGACGGCAAGGGACGAAAGCUAGGGGCACGAACCGGAUUAGAUACCCGGGUAGUCCUAGCCGUAAACGAUACUCGCUAGGUGUCGGCCACGGUGCGACCGUGGUCGGUGCCGUAGGGAAGCCGUGAAGCGAGCCACCUGGGAAGUACGGCCGCAAGGCUGAAACUUAAAGGAAUUGGCGGGGGAGCAC
rnacentral:rRNA from 1 species